UGCUGCCAUAAGUAGAGCUUUCAUUUCCUGCUCCUGCAAAACAAACAAUGUGGAGCGAGUUAUCUAAUUGUGUCGAGUCUGAAGCUUCCAUGAGCAGCCCAUGGUAUGAUAAUAAAACAAGGUUGCCAUUUUGUUGAGAUUUGUUAGUCCAGUAAGCAAACUUCAGUUUGGGUCUGCACCAUGAUUUCUAAAAGUGAGUUUUAAGAUAUAUUUGAUGUGGACUGCUUCAUAGCAUCAUUGAGAGGACGUUUGAAUGCGGAAAGAGUUGACUCCAUUCUGCCCGUCAGUUGAAGGAGCACGGGUGCCCGGGACGACGACAACGACAAGCCAAAGGAGACACCGUGGAUUCGUUGCCCGCUUCCGCUGCUGCUCGUGCAGACUCUGCACCAACCCGGCCUUGAACUACCCCAUCUU